CCUACGGGAGGCAGCAGUAGGGAAUUUUCCGCAAUGGGCGAAAGCCUGACGGAGCAAUACCGCGUGAGGGAUGACUGCCUAUGGGUUGUAAACCUCUUUUUCAGGGAGGAAUAAAUGACGUGUACCUGAAGAAUAAGCAUCGGCUAACUCCGUGCCAGCAGCCGCGGUAAGACGGAGGAUGCAAGUGUUAUCCGGAAUCACUGGGCGUAAAGCGUCUGUAGGUGGCUCAACAAGUCAACUGUUAAAUCUUGAAGCUCAACUUCAAAAUCGCAGUCGAAACUAUUGAACUAGAGUAUAGUAGAGGUAAAGGGAAUUUCCAGUGGAGCGGUGAAAUGCGUAGAGAUUGGAAAGAACACCAAUGGCGAAGGCACUUUACUGGGCUAUUACUGACACUCAGAGACGAAAGCUAGGGUAGCAAAUGGGAUUAGAUACCCCAGUAGUCCUAGCCGUAAACAAUGGAUACUAGGUGUUGAACAGAUCGACCUGUGCAGUACUAAGACUAACGUACGUUAAGUACUACCGUCCGUCGGAAGUAGUGCACGCGAGUAGUAGAACGUACGAAGAAGUAGACGGACGUGAGACGUGCCGAACGGACGACGACGAGGGAGGUAGG
rnacentral:rRNA from 1 species